UGGGGAAUAUUGCACAAUGGGCGCAAGCCUGAUGCAGCCAUGCCGCGUGAGUGAAGAAGGCCUUAGGGUUGUAAAACUCUUUCGCCGGUGAAGAUAAUGACGGUAGCCGGUAAAGAAGCCCCGGCUAACUCCGUGCCAGCAGCCGCGGUAAUACGGAGGGGGCUAGCGUUGUUCGGAAUUACUGGGCGUAAAGCGCACGUAGGCGGAUUGGUCAGUUGGGGGUGAAAUCCCGAGGCUCAACCUCGGAACUGCCCUCAAUACUGCCAAUCUUGAGUUCGAGUGAGGUGAGUGGAAUUCCUAGUGUAGAGGUGAAAUUCGUAGAUAUUAGGAAGAACACCAGUGGCGAAGGCGGCUCACUGGCUCGAUACUGACGCUGAGGUGCGAAAGCGUGGGGAGCAAACAGGAUUAGAUACCCCCGUAGUCC
rnacentral:rRNA from 1 species